CCGGCGACCGGCGGACGGGUGCGUAACGCGUAUGUAACCUACCUUUGACAGGGGGAUAACAUCGAGAAAUUGGUACUAAUACCCCAUAACAUCACCGGAGGCAUCUUCGGUGGUUGAAAACUCAGGUGGUCAGAGAUGGACAUGCGUUGUAUUAGCUAGUUGGUGAGGUAACGGCUCACCAAGGCGACGAUACAUAGGGGGACUGAGAGGAAGGUCCCCCACAUUGGAACUGAGACACGGUCCAAACUCCUACGGAAGGCAGCAG
rnacentral:rRNA from 1 species